rnacentral:rRNA from 1 species
UACGGAAGGGGCAAGCGUUGUUCGGAAUCAUUGGGCGUAAAGGGCGCGUAGGUGGCUCUGUAUGUCUACCGUGAAAGCAUACAGCUCAACUGUAUUUUGUCGGUAGAAACUGCAGGACUUGAGGCUGGGAGGGGCUGGUGGAAUUCCCUGUGUAGCGGUGAAAUGCGUAGAGAUGGGGGAGAACACUCGUGGCGAAGGCGGCCAGCUAGACCAGUUCUGACACUGAGGCGCGACAGCGUGGGAGCAAACAGG